rnacentral:rRNA from 1 species
GAUGAACGCUGGCGGCGUGCCUAAUACAUGCCAGUCGAACGAACAGAUGAGGAGCUUGCGCCUCUGACGUAGCGAAGGAGGGGUUAGUACCACGUGAAUAACCUACCUAUAAGACUGGGAUAACUUCGGAAAACCGGAGCUACUGCCGAAUAAUAUAUUCAACCGCGUGGUUGAAUGGUGAAAUACGGUGUUGCUGUCACUCUUAGGUGGAUCCGCGCGGCAUUAGCGAGUUGGCAACGUAACGGCUUACCAGGGCAGCGAUGGGUAGCCGACCCGAGGGGGUGAACGCCCACACAGGAACUGAGACACGGCCCAGACACCUACGGGAGGCACCAGUAGGUACUCGUCGGAACUGGGCGAAAUCCUGACGGAGCAACGCCGCGUUAGUGCUGAAGCUCUUCGGAUCGUAAAACGCUGUUCUGAGGGAAGAACAAAUGCGUAAGUAACUAUGCUCGGCUUGACGGUACCUAAUCAGAAAGCAACGGCUAACUACGUG